rnacentral:rRNA from 1 species
GCUAGCAGCUAUAUCCUACAGGUCUCAACUGGCUACCCACUGAAGCCAAGCAGGGUUGAGCCUGGUCAGUACCUGGAUUGGAGGUCUCAUGGGAAGCUACGGUUGCUGCUGGAA